GCCGCGGUAGCUCAGUUUGGGAGAGCGCCAGACUGAAGAUCUGGAAGCCGAGGGUUCAAGUCCCCCCCGCGGCA
rnacentral:tRNA from 2 species